GCUGGGGUAGCUCAGUGAGUAGAACAUGAGACUCUUAAUUGCAGGGUCGUGGGUUGAAGUCCCACGUUGGGCA